rnacentral:rRNA from 1 species
CCUACGGGAGGCAGCAGUGAGGAAUAUUGGUCAAUGGGCGCAAGCCUGAACCAGCCAAGUCGCGUGAGGGAAGACGGUCCUAUGGAUUGUAAACCUCUUUUGUCGGGGAGCAAAAGACGCCACGCGUGGCGUUCCGAGAGUACCCGAAGAAAAAGCAUCGGCUAACUCCGUGCCAGCAGCCGCGGUAAUACGGAGGAUGCGAGCGUUAUCCGGAUUUAUUGGGGUUAAAGGGUGCGCAGGCGGAAGAUCAAGUCAGCGGGAAAAUUGAGAGGCUCAACCUCUUCGAGCCGUUGAAACUGGUUUUCUUGAGUGAGCGAGAAGUAUGCGGAAUGCGUGGUGUAGCGGUGAAAUGCAGAGAGAUCACGCAGAACUCCGAUUGCGAAGGCAGCAUACCGGCGCUCAACUGACGCUCAUGCACGAAAGUGUGGGUAUCGAACAGGAUUAGAUACCCCUGUAGUC